rnacentral:rRNA from 1 species
CCUACGGGAGGCAGCAGUGGGGAAUAUUGCACAAUGGGGGAAACCCUGAUGCAGCGACGCCGCGUGAGUGAAGAAGUAUUUCGGUACGUAAAGCUCUAUCAGCAGGGAAGAAAAUGACGGUACCUGACUAAGAAGCCCCGGCUAACUACGUGCCAGCAGCCGCGGUAAUACGUAGGGGGCAAGCGUUAUCCGGAUUUACUGGGUGUAAAGGGAGCGUAGACGGCAGCGCAAGUCUGGAGUGAAAUCCCAUGGCUUAACCAUGGAACUGCUUUGGAAACGGUGCAGCUAGAGUGCAGGAGAGGUAAGCGGAAUUCCUAGUGUAGCGGUGAAAUGCGUAGAUAUUAGGAGGAACACCAGUGGCGAAGGCGGCUUACUGGACUGUAACUGACGUUGAGGCUCGAAAGCGUGGGGAGCAAACAGGAUUAGAUACCCCGGUAGUC